rnacentral:RNase_P_RNA from 2 species
ACGUAAUCGCUGUAUAUUUAGUAUGCAGAGGAAAGUCCAUGCUCACACAAGCUGAGACGUUUGUAGUGUUCGUGCCUGACGAAAUCAUAAGUCAGGAUAACCUAAUUGGGUUAAUGGCAGUGGAAAAUCCUAACUCUUAUGACAUGGAUUAAUACACUUGAAAGUGCCACAGUGACGUAGUCGGAAUGGAAACAUUCCGAGUGGAACGAGGUAAACCCCACGAGUGAGCAACCCAAAUAUUGGUAGGGGCAUCCUUGAUUAGGGAAAUUGAACCGAAAAAGGGACAAGUAAUUUA